UUCAAACAGACAGACUUCUAUCAUAAUACAGGAAGACAGGAAGUAAGCUGGGUGGGAACCAGAGGGGUGGUGAACUUCCACCUCUCACUUCCUGUAAGGCCUAGUCUGAAAAGGAAAGCAUGGCAUGGUGGAGAUACUCUGUAUUCUCCUGGAUGGAUUCUCCUGGAUUAAAGAUGGGCCGCCAGCCGCUGUCAAAGCACCUGACCAAGACUGACAGCUGGUGAAUGGAAAACCAGAAUAGGCACUUGGAAGAAGGAAACCAACAACUGAGACAACUUGCCUUUGAUUUGCCUGGUGUAAUGGAUACUUUGAAAA